GUCAAGAGAUCGAGACCAUCCUUGCCAACAUGGUGAGACGUCCUUGACCUGUGUCACUUUUUCUGUCUGUUUUGCAAAUUUCUAACAGGCAGUUGCCCUGGGCCACCUGGUGGCCUGAAAUAACUUGACCGGGAACUAAAAGGACUCUACAUGUUGACUUUUCAGCCAAGGACACUUCAGAGCGACUGGCUGCAGUUCUCCAAAGGAAGCUGCUGCCAGUUGCCCCUGGGGGGUUAUUUCCUUCUUGGACAUCAUGACCACAAUGGCAGAAAUGCAUUGAUGGCCAGCACUCUGGGGAUGAAUGUUUUUGAGUGGAAAUUAAACAUACCAAACUGGUUAAAGACAAAAAUGCAGAGUUGGACAAGUUCUGCAGGUCACGAAAGGCCUUUAAAGCAGCCAGGCCCGGUUCCUGCUCUGCUGUAUGGGAGGCUGCUGGCCUGAGCUGGAGAGCAGAAAGGCCCAGUGCCAAGGGUUCGGCAAGUACGGUCCCAGUCCAGGCCCAGUGCCAAGGGUUCAGCAAGUACCGGUCCCAGGCCAGGCAUUUGCUAAUAAGCCAGGGUGACAGUAAGGACAAGGGGACUCUGGUGUGAUGUGAGGUUUCUCAGCCUCACUUGUCACACGUGAUAACUGCACAACCUUCCUGUCCCCUCCAGGCCUGUGUGAGACAGGAAAGGUGAGGCUGCCUCUCCCUCUGCACCUUAAAGCCACUCGGGGUCUGGGUUUUCCUGAGACUUCCCGGAGCCAGAUGCAGACUCCCAAAGGCGCCGAUCCUUCCUCGAUCUCCCUCCCUCAAGAGUGGCACUAAUCAGGUCUAAUUUAGAGAAAACCCAUCACCUCCCCCCACUGUGGGCUCUGCCACUUCAUGCCUUGGUCUCUCCACCUAUCAGCCAGCUGGAGCUUGGGACUCAAGGAGGCAUGCUUGGAAGUAAGGAACUUCUCUGAGUAUGAGGACAUCUGGGUGGUGCUGAACACCAGCAUGCUUUGCCCCGUGGCCUGGACUGUGCACAGGGCACCUAGAGUGACCUGUCACCUCCCACGCAGGUGGAAGGGUGUGAGAGAGAAUGGGCACUCAGUUACAAACAUCCCCUUCCCAAACACUUGUGGAUCUGAGUCUGAGGCUACUCCUUCCAGGUGAGGGGUUGGCUGGCUGCUGUUGUAGCUUGUUAUUCUCUUUCUGUCCCUUCUGCCCUCAGGUCUUGACCAUGCAGCUUCCCAAGAACAGGAUGGGGAAUGAUAUGGGCACAUGGGGAGGCAAGCAGCCACAGGCCUCACCUGCUCAUGGGCACUGACCGUCCCAACAGCAGGUGGACAUGAAUCUAACCCACAGAUACCAGAGUAGAGGGAGCUGGGCUCCCUGAGUCUGGAUGGGGUUCUCACAGGCCCCCACAGGGAGACAAGGGAAGCUUUCUCCAGAAUGUGGAGUACAGACUCACUGUGUGAAUAAAGUAAAUGAGCUGGAGGGGGCAGGACAAGAUUUCAAAAAGCACCACUCAUACACCCAGGACUGGCAAAGCUGCUGGCAGUAAGCUCUAUCAUGGGGCUCCCCCACUGCAGGUGAGCUGAUUGGCCUCAGCUGGCACCAUCCAUGCUCAGUGUUUGCCCUGAGGACAAGAAGACAUGGCAAAAAAGAGGAAAGUACAGAACACACUCCGACCUGGCUGGUGGGAAUAUAGAUAGUGCAGCUGCUGUGGAAACCUUCAGCUCCACAGAAAGGUGUCCUUAUGAAGGAGGCAAAGGGAGUUCUGACACAGAGAAGAGUGGUCCAUGUGAAGAUGGAGGCUGAUAUUGGAGUGAUGCAGCCACACUCCAAGGAACACCCGGAGCCGCCAGAAGCCGGAAGAGGCAAGGAAAGACCCCCACCCAGAGCCGUCAGAGAGCACAGUACUGCUGACACCUUGAUUUCAG
rnacentral:lncRNA from 1 species